AACGAACGCUGGCGGCAGGCUUAACACAUGCAAGUCGAGCGCUCUAGCAAUAGAGAGCGGCGCACGGGUGCGUAACGCGUGGGAACAUGCCCUUGGGUGCGGAACAACGUUGGGAAACUAACGCUAAUACCGCAUAAUAUCUCCGGAUCAAAGAUUCAUCGCCCAGGGAUUGGCCCGCGUUAGAUUAGGUAGUUGGUAGG
rnacentral:rRNA from 1 species